rnacentral:rRNA from 1 species
GAACCUGAGAGUUUGAUCCUGGCUCAGAACGAACGCUGGCGGCAUGCCUAACACAUGCAAGUCGAACGAAGGCUUCGGCCUUAGU